CAGUAGCCACGGUAAUACGUAGGUGGCGAGCGUUGUCCGGAAUUAUUGGGCGUAAAGGGAGCGCAGGCGGACAUAUAAGUCCAUCUUAAAAGUGCGGGGCUCAACCCCGUGAGGGGAUGGAAACUGUAUGCCUUGAGUGUAGGAGAGGAAAGCGGAAUUCCCAGUGUAGCGGUGAAAUGCGUAGAUAUUGGGAGGAACACCAGUGGCGAAGGCGGCUUUCUGGACUGCAACUGACGCUGAGGCUCGAAAGCCAGGGGAGCGAACGGGAUUAGAUACCCGCGUAGUCCCUGUCUCUUAUAAA
rnacentral:rRNA from 1 species